GACGAACCGUGCGAACGUUAUUCGGAAUCACUGGGCUUAAAGCGCGUGUAGGCGGAUGGGAACGUCGGUCGUUGAAAUCCCCCGGCUUAACCGGGGAAGUGGCGCCGAUACGCCCCGUCUUGAGGAACGUAGGGGGAGCGGGAACUUCCGGUGGAGCAGUGAAAUGCGUUGAGAUCGGAAGGAACGCCCGUGGCGAAAGCGCGCUCCUGGACGUUUUCUGACGCUGAGACGCGAAAGCGUGGGGAGCGAACAGG
rnacentral:rRNA from 1 species